rnacentral:rRNA from 1 species
UACUCCUACGGGAGGCAGCAGUGGGGAAUUUUGGACAAUGGGGGCAACCCUGAUCCAGCCAUGCCGCGUGAGUGAAGAAGGCCUUCGGGUUGUAAAGCUCUUUCAGGUGGAAAGAAAUCUCCCGGGUGAAUACCCUGGGAGGAUGACGGUACCAUCAGAAGAAGCACCGGCUAACUACGUGCCAGCAGCCGCGGUAAUU